CGCACAUUGCGCCCAUUGGUAUUCCGAUGGGCACGUCUGUUUGAGCGUCAUCGCAACCCUUCGGCUUGACCGGUGCUGAGCUUGGCUGCCCCGCCUCUGGGUGGGUACCUGGCUUUAAAGUUGCACGCUCUGCGGGUCCAGUCACCCAGCAAAAACAUAGUAGAACCUUCAAACUGUUUGAGCUGAGCUUGGGCUUCCGCCUGAACAAAGUACCAUCUUUGAGUUUGACCUCAGAUCAGACGAGGAUACCCGCUGAACUUAA
rnacentral:misc_RNA from 1 species